CCUACGGGAGGCAGCAGUGAGGAAUAUUGGUCAAUGGACGAGAGUCUGAACCAGCCAAGUAGCGUGAAGGAUGACUGCCCUAUGGGUUGUAAACUUCUUUUAUAUGGGAAUAAAAUGUUCCACGUGUGGGAUUUUGUAUGUACCAUAUGAAUAAGGAUCGGCUAACUCCGUGCCAGCCGCCGCGGUACUACGGAGGAUCCGAGCGUUAUCCGGAUUUAUUGGGGUUAAAGGGAGCGUAGGUGGAUUGUUAUGUCAGCGGUAACAGCGCGGGGCUCAACCUCACUCCGCCUUUGACUCUGGCGUUCUUGAGUGGGCGAGAGGUAUGCGGAAUGCGUGGUGUAGCGGUGAAAUGCAUAGAUAUAACGCAGAACUCCGAUUGCGAAGGCAGCAUACCGGCGCCAAACUGACGCUGAAGCACGAAAGCGUGGGUAUCGAACAGGAUUAGAUACCCGAGUAGUC
rnacentral:rRNA from 1 species